rnacentral:hammerhead_ribozyme from 1 species
UUCCCAUUGACGAGUCUCAAAUAGGACGAAGCGCGCGUCCUGGAU